GUAUUACUCUUUCCGUCCGGUAUUAAGUGUCACACUUUUAUCUAAAUACAGAUGUAUCUAUACGCGUUUUAGUUGUAGGUACAUGCAUAUUAGACGAAGUUGCGACACUUAAUACCGGACGGAGGGAGUAGUUU
rfam:Brachypodium distachyon strain Bd21 chromosome 1, whole genome shotgun sequence.